AGAAAUAUUCUCUGGUCCUUUACCCUGGUGUCUCUUGAUCUAAGACUAUUCUCAUAGUUGCUUGAUUAUAAGAAUCACGUGAAUCUUAUCAUCCAUGUUAACAAGACAAUUUCUGGUCCCAGCCUAGAGUCAGAAUUUCCGGGGCGUUGGGGGUGGGGUUGGGAAGCUGUGCUGCGCAAGCUUCGCCGGUGAUUCUCAUCACCACAGAAGGACUGGUUUCAGGUGUGCCUUCCUGCCAGGUGAGGGAGAGCCUUUAAAAGAGGUGUAGUCAUCAAGCGCACAGACUUUUUAUUUUCACUGUCUGGGUUUGCCUCUCAGCACUGCUUCGUGAAGUAUCGCCAUCUUAGUUAUCACCCCUUCCUCAUUGGAGACAAUGAAUCAUCCCCACCCCGUAGAGGGCCCUCUCCUGGAGGAAAAGAAGAACAAUCGGAGAGCAGCUGAACUCAAUUGUAAACCUGUGAUGGAGAAAAUAAAACUAUGGUGAUAUUCUAUCAUUGUGGCAUUACUCCAAUGAACAGGUAGUUUCUUUUGGUAAAGGUUUCUGGUGUCUUUAAAUGGGAUAGGAGUUAGUUAGAGUUGAAUUCAGGGGAGCUGAGAAUGAGAGAAAAUAAAUUAUUCUGAGGAUAUCA
rnacentral:lncRNA from 13 species